GUGCCAGCAGCCGCGGUAAUACGGAGGGUGCAAGCGUUGUUCGGAAUUACUGGGCGUAAAGCGCGUGUAGGCGGCUUGGCAAGUCGGGUGUGAAAGCCCGGGGCUCAACCCCGGAACUGCAUUCGAAACUGCCUGGCUAGAGUCCCGGAGAGGGUGGUGGAAUUCCCAGUGUAGAGGUGAAAUUCGUAGAUAUUGGGAGGAACACCAGUGGCGAAGGCGGCCACCUGGACGGUGACUGACGCUGAGACGCGAAAGCGUGGGGAGCAAACAGGAUUAGAAACCCGCGUAGUCC
rnacentral:rRNA from 1 species